rnacentral:misc_RNA from 1 species
GAUGAAGAACGCAGUGAAAUGCGAUACUUGGUGUGAAUUGCAGAAUCCCGUGAACCAUCGAGUCUUUGAACGCAAGUUGCGCCCGAAGCCAUUAGGCCGAGGGCACGCCUGCCUGGGCGUCACACGUCGUUGCCCCCCCAUCUACUCCUUCGGGAUUGCGGGGGGCGGAUGAUGGCCUCCCGUGCGCCUUGUCGCGCGGUUGGCAUAAAUGCCAAGUCCUCGGCGACGCACGCCACGACAAUCGGUGGUUGCGAAACCUCGGUUGCCCGUCGUGUGCGGUCGUCGCGCAUCGAGGGCUCGAAAAAAUUGUCGGGCUCCGGCUCGGCUUUCAACGCGACCCCAGGUCAGGCGGGGUUACCCGCUGAAUUUAAGCAUAUCAAUAAGCGGAGGA